CUUCGGUGAUGAUGCGAUGACGAGUCUGAAUGGGUAAAUCCUCUGCCGGCGGUCAGUGUCGGCGUCACGUUUUGUGCUGUGGAUAUGAACCCGCUGAGUAGAGCUUACCUUUCGUUUGAAGACCCCGAGGCAUUUGUCUGAGAAGG